GACGAACGCUGGCGGCGUGCUUAACACAUGCAAGUCGAACGGAAAGGCCCUGCUUUUGUGGGGUGCUCGAGUGGCGAACGGGUGAGUAACACGUGAGUAACCUGCCCUUGACUUUGGGAUAACUUCAGGAAACUGGGGCUAAUACCGGAUAGGAGCUCCUGCUGCAUGGUGGGGGUUGGAAAGUUUCGGCGGUUGGGGAUGGACUCGCGGCUUAUCAGCUAGUUGGUGGGGGAGUGGCUUACGAAGGCUUUGGCGGGUAGUCGGCCUGGGAGGGUGACCACGGACAUUGGUACUGAGAUACGGCCCAGUCGCCAACGGUGGGCAACGGUGGGAAAUCUUGCACAGUGAGGGGAAGCGUGAUGCAAAGGCGCCGCGUGCGGAAUGACCGCCUUCGGGUUAUAAACCGCUUUCGCCUGAGACGAAGCGUGAGUGACGGUAAUGGAUAAAGAAGCACCGGCUAACUACGUG
rnacentral:rRNA from 1 species